rnacentral:rRNA from 1 species
UACGUAGGGUGCGAGCGUUGUCCGGAAUUAUUGGGCGUAAAGAGCUCGUAGGCGGUCUGUCGCGUCGAUCGUGAAAACUUGGGGCUUAACCCUGAGCUUGCGGUCGAUACGGGCAUGACUGGAGUUCGGCAGGGGAGACUGGAAUUCCUGGUGUAGCGGUGAAAUGCGCAGAUAUCAGGAGGAACACCGGUGGCGAAGGCGGCCCUCUGGACGGUGACUGACGCUGAGACGCGAAAGCGUGGGGAGCAAACAGG